AACGAACGCUGGCGGCGUGCUUAACACAUGCAAGUCGAGCGGUAAGGCCCUUUCGGGGGUACACGAGCGGCGAACGGGUGAGUAACACGUGGGUGACCUGCCCUCAGCUCUGGGAUAAGCCUGGGAAACCGGGUCUAAUACUGGAUAUGACUCCAUGACGCAUGUUGUGGGGUGGAAAGCCUUGUGCGGCUGAGGAUGGGCCCGCGGCCUAUCAGCUUGUUGGUGGGGUGAGGCCUACCAAGGCGACGACGGGUAGCCGGCCUGAGAGGGCGACCGGCCACACUGGGACUGAGACACGGCCCAGACUCCUACGGGAGGCAGCAGUGGGGAAUCUUGCGCAAUGGGCGAAAGCCUGACGCAGCGACGCCGCGUGAGGGAUGACGGCCUGGUU
rnacentral:rRNA from 1 species